CGACGGCAGCACGGAGCUUGCUCUGGUGGCGAGUGGCGAACGGGUGAGUAAUAUAUCGGAACGUACCCUGGAGUGGGGGAUAACGUAGCGAAAGUUACGCUAAUACCGCAUACGAUCUAAGGAUGAAAGCAGGGGACCGCAAGGCCUUGUGCUCCUGGAGCGGCCGAUAUCUGAUUAGCUAGUUGGUAGGGUAAAAGCCUACCAAGGCAUCGAUCAGUAGCUGGUCUGAGAGGACGACCAGCCACACUGGAACUGAGACACGGUCCAGACUCCUACGGGAGGCAGCAGUGGGGAAUUUUGACAAUGGGGGCAACCCUGAUCCAGCAAUGCCGCGUGAGUGAAGAAGGCCUUCGGGUUGUAAAGCUCUUUUGUCAGGGAAGAAACGGUGCGGCUAAUAUCUCGUGCUAAUGACGGUACCUGAAGAAUAAGCACCGGCUAACUACGUGCCAGCAGCCGCGGUAAUACGUAGGUGCAAGCGUUAUCGGAUUACUGGGCGUAAAGCGUGCGCACGCGGUUUGUAGACUGUCGUGAAUCCCGGGCU
rnacentral:rRNA from 1 species